rnacentral:rRNA from 1 species
UGAGGAAUAUUGGUCAAUGGGAGCAAUCCUGAACCAGCAAUGCCGCGUAUGGGAUGACAGGACUCAGCCCUAUAAACCACUGUCGGACAGGACGAAAGGAGCCUUCAGAGCUCUGGGACGGUACCGUCAAAGGAAGGGUCGGCUAACUACGUGCCAGCAGCCGCGGUAAUACGUAGGACCCGAGCGUUGUCCGGAAUUACUGGGUAUAAAGGGUGCGCAGGCGGCCGUGUGCGUCAGAGGUGAAAUCUCCGGGCUUAACCCGGAGGGUGCCUUUGAUACGGGCAUGGCUUGAGUCCGAGAGAGGGUGAUGGAAUUCCGUGGUGUAGCAGUGAAAUGCGUAGAUAUCAGGAGGAACACCGGGUGGCGAAGGCGGUCACCGUGGCUCGGCACUGACGCUUAGGC